CAGCAGCCGCCACGGGAAUACGUAGGGUGCGAGCGUUAAUCGGAAUUACUGAGCGUAAAGCGUGCGCAGGCGGUUAUAUAAGUCAGAUGUGAAAUCCCCGGGCUCAACCUGGGAACUGCACUUGAGACUGUAUGGCUAGAGUGUGUCAGAGGGGGGUAGAAUUCCACGUGUAGCAGUGAAAUGCGUAGAUAUGUGGAGGAAUACCGAUGGCGAAGGCAGCCCCCUGGGAUAACACUGACGCUCAUGCACGAAAGCGUGGGGAGCAAACAGGAUUAGAUACCCCGGUAGUCCCUGUCUCUUAUAC
rnacentral:rRNA from 1 species